CCUGUCUUCAUGGUUACAGAAUCCAGUCUUU
rnacentral:piRNA from 2 species